rnacentral:rRNA from 1 species
UAAGUAAGCGGAGGAUAAGAAACUAAAUAGGAUUCCCUCAGUAAUGGCGAAUGAACAGGGAUAAGCUCAGCAUGGAAAUUGGGGCCUCUGGCCUUGAAUUGUAGUCUUGAGAUGUGCUGCCAACGGAGGCGCAGAUGUAAGCCUCUUGGAAAAGAGCAUCAGGGAGGGUGAGAGUCCCGUGUGUCAUCUGCAGUUCUCCGUGCACGGUGCAUUUUCUAAGAGUCACGUUCCUCGGGAUUGGAGCGCAAAUUGGGUGGUAAAUUUCAUCUAAAGCUAAAUAUUGGUUCGAGACCGAUAGCAAACAAGUACCAUGAGGGAAAGGUGAAAAGGACUUUGAAAAGAGAGUUAAAAGUGCCUGAAAUUGCUGAAAGGGAAGCGAAUGGAACCAGUUGUUCUUGGCGAGUAUUGGUGUUGUCUAAGGUGAUGGCUUGCCACUUCAACGCAAGUGUGGUGGCAUGUUUUGAACUGGAUGCGAUACUGCUUCUCGCCUUGCGUGUCAACGUCAGUUCAUAAUUGAGGAAAACUCUAGGGACAUGGUAAUUUGCUUCCGGGUGACUGAAUGUGCCUAGUUGAACUCAUUUUUGAACUGCUCCCUCUAUGUCUGGUAGCAGUGCUCUGCGUGUUCAUCAGCACCAUCAUGCUGGCUCUGCCUGGCAUGAGGGUUGCUGGUGCCCAGAGCAUGUCCUUGACAUAAGUACGAUGACGAAAUGGUUUUAUUCGACCCG